rnacentral:rRNA from 1 species
UAGGGAAUCUUCCACAAUGGGCGCAGCCUGAUGGAGCAACGCCGCGUGAGUGAAGAAGGUCUUCGGAUCGUAAACUCUGUUGUUAGAGAAGAACAUGCGAGAGAGUAACUGUUCUUGUAUUGACGGUAUCUAACCAGAAAGCCACGGCUAACUACGUCCCAG